UACUAGAGUAGCACUCGCAUAUCAAUAAGCGGAGGAAAAGAAACUAACAAGGAUUCCCCUAGUAACGGCGAGUGAAGCGGGAAGAGCUCAAAUUUGAAAUCUUAAAGGGUUUCCCUUUACGAAUUGUAGUUUAAAGAAGUGUUUUCUGUUGAGGUUUUGGUAAAAGUUCUUUGGAAUAGGACAUCAUAGAGGGUGAGAAUCCCGUAUUUGACCUUUACUUUCAACUUUGUGAUACACUUUCAAAGAGUCGGAUUGUUUGGGAAUGCAGUCCAAAAUGGGUGGUAAAUUUCAUCUAGAGCUAAAUAUUGGCGAGAGACCGAUAGCGAACAAGUACCGUGAGGGAAAGAUGAAAAGAACUUUGAAAAGAGAGUUAAACAGUACGUGAAAUUGUCAAAAGGGAAGCGUUUGACACCAGUGUUGUUUUUCUGAAAAUCAAUUAAAGAACUGUUUAUGCUAAGCUGUUUAGACUUUAUCAGCUAUCUGUUUAGUUUUGAGCUUUUCUUUAAUGCACUUUUCAGUUAACAAGUCAACAUCAAUUUCUUUUGCUGUAAAAAAGCUUGAGGAAGGUGGCUUGAGAUUCGUCUUAAGUGUUUAUAGCCUCUUGCCUAUGCAGUCGGAGAGAUUGAGGUCUGCAGCGUAGAUCCUUCGGGGCUAAAUGCAUUUGUGCUAAGUUAUAGCAUUUUAUAGACAACUUGUUGACUAUGAUUUGUCUUGUAGCUUACUCGCUUAUGUUAUUUUACCUACGCUUAGGAUGUUGAACUACUGAGACAUAGA
rnacentral:rRNA from 1 species